ACUUGUAUAGUUUAACUUAAAACUUUUCAUUUUCAAUGAAAAAAUAGGAUAUUUUAAUCCUUUCAAGUA
rnacentral:tRNA from 1 species